rnacentral:rRNA from 1 species
CCCUGAUGCAGCGACGCCGCGUGCGGGAUGAAGGCCUUCGGGUUGUAAACCGCUUUCAGGAGGGAAGAAAAUGACGGUACCUCCAGAAGAAGGUCCGGCCAACUACGUGCCAGCAGCCGCGGUAAUACGUAGGGGGCAAACGUUGUCCGGAUUUAUUGGGCGUAAAGGGCUCGUAGGCGGUUCAACAAGUCGGUCGUGAAAGCCCGGGGCUCAACCCCGGGACGCCGGUCGAAACUGUUGUGACUAGAGUUCGGUAGAGGUGAGUGGAAUUCUCGGUGUAGCGGUGGAAUGCGCAGAUAUCGAGAGGAACACCCGUAGCGAAGGCGGCUCACUGGGCCGAUACCGACGCUGAGGAGCGAAAGCGUGGGGAGCAAACAGGAUUAGAUACCCUGGUAGUCCACGCCGUAAACGAUGAACACUAGGUGUGGCGGAUU